rnacentral:rRNA from 1 species
ACGGGGGGAGCAAGCGCUGUUCGGAUUUACCGGGCGUAAAGGGCGCGUAGGCGGCCACCGCAAGUCGACUGUGAAAUCUCCGGGCUUAACCCGGAAAGGUCAGCCGAUACUGCGGGGCUAGAGUGCAGAAGGGGCAACUGGAAUUCUCGGUGUAGCGGUGAAAUGCGUAGAUAUCGUUUGGAACGCCAAUGGUGAAAACAGGUUGCUGGGAGUGUGCUGACGCUGAGACACGAAAGCCAGGGGAGCGAACGGGA